rnacentral:tRNA from 1 species
GAGUUGAUAGCUCAGCUGGUAGAGCACGCGGCUUUUAACUGCUUGGUCCUGGGUUCGAAUCCCAGUCAACUCA